GACGAACGCUGGCGGCGUGCCUAAUACAUGCAAGUCGAACGCACUCUCGUUUAGAUUGAAGGAGCUUGCUCCUGAUUGAUAAACAUUUGAGUGAGUGGCGGACGGGUGAGUAACACGUGGGUAACCUGCCCUAAAGUGGGGGAUAACAUUUGGAAACAGAUGCUAAUACCGCAUAAAACCUAAACACCGCAUGGUGUAGGGUUGAAAGAUGGUUUCGGCUAUCACUUUAGGAUGGACCCGCGGUGCAUUAGUUAGUUGGUGAGGUAAAGGCUCACCAAGACCGUGAUGCAUAGCCGACCUGAGAGGGUAAUCGGCCACACUGGGACUGAGACACGGCCCAGACUCCUACGGGAGGCAGCAGUAGGGAAUCUUCCACAAUGGACGAAAGUCUGAUGGAGCAACGCCGCGUGAGUGAAGAAGGUUUUCGGAAUCGGUAAAACUCUAGUUGUUGGAGAAGAACUGUAUCUGAUAGUAACUGAUCAGGUAGUGACGGUAUCCAACC
rnacentral:rRNA from 1 species